UAUUACGUUUAGUAUUGUCACGUGAAUCUUUAAGAGAAUACGUAACUACGUAUUUCGAAUUAUUAUUGAAACUAGAUUGAAUUAGUGGUUGAAAAUUUGUAUAAAUCGUACUGGAAUCGUGAUCGUGCUGUGAAAGGAAACUAAAAUUCGUUUACGAAUACACUGUGUCGAAACAAUGAUUGUAUCGUGAUAAUUUAUCUAAGUAUAUAUCGUAACAGAAUCACGACUUGAUCGUUAAUAGAUAUAUAACCUCAAUUCGAAAGUACUGCAACUGACCAUAUUGCAACUAAAUUGGCAAUAUGAAUUAAACUUGAAUUGUGAAAUGAUUUUGCUGUUCUUUUUCUGUUCUCAAAAACAAAGACACGUUUCUUUAAGAAGGAGGCGAAAAACACCAUCUACCGGUCAUUAAUUCUGUUCCUAUUUGGCGUGGCUCAUGGGCAGCUAGUGCGAACAAGGUGAUACGGUUCAUUCGGUGUUAAUGUACUCGACUUUCUCUCUCAUAUGUCAGUCGGUACGCGGUCACGAGUAGUCGUUCCAAACCCAUGGUCAUCCUUCGAGGACACAACCAAUAUAUCUUCUGUUUGCGCUAUUUUCAACCUUGACCUGUAUUCAACCGGCGUAAACCCAGGAUCCACAGCGAAUCGAACAAAUCCAAAACUGAAGGAGCGUGAAAACGACUUUAUCUUAUGCCGCCCUGCUCAUGCCCGUCGUUCUUUGCCGCGUGGAACGUGAAAUGAAACGAAAUGAAGGACGUGUUCCGCCGCCAAAUUGUGUCGAGGAUCCAAGAUGGAUAUCUGUCUGGCCGGUAACGUGAAUCAAAACGUGAGUUUGCUACGUAUGCACACCGAAAAUCCAGAGCCGAGACAGCCACGUCUGUCUGGUUAACAGCCUAAUAAAGAUAGCUCAUAGCUGGUUGAAGCGGUUUCGUUGGACCUCUAUUGGGAGCUCUUGAUGGGUAGACAGUACGAAAAUGCAGUCAGAGGAGAUCGAGAAAAUAUUGCGUCACCGAACUAAGUCAUUCGUUAAUAGGAAUUGCAUUCGCAUAAAAAAAUAUAGCAGUUGCGGUUGAUUGCGGUGAUCAGUCGUUUCCUCGAAAAGAAAUUCGUAACACCGAUAAACAGAGAAAGAGAUCUCGGUGACUUCAUUGAUCAUUGCAUAAGAUAGAAGAUUGAAUGGCCUGAAUCGAGAUAUUUAAUAAUUUA